rnacentral:rRNA from 1 species
GACGAACGCUGGCGGCGUGCUUAACACAUGCAAGUCGAACGGAAAGGCCCUGCUUGCAGGGUACUCGAGUGGCGAACGGGUGAGUAACACGUGGGUGAUCUGCCCUGCACUUCGGGAUAAGCUUGGGAAACUGGGUCUAAUACCGGAUAGGAGCCAUCUUUAGUGUGGUGGUUGGAAAGUUUUUUCGGUGUAGGAUGAGCUCGCGGCCUAUCAGCUUGUUGGUGGGGUAAUGGCCUACCAAGGCGGCGACGGGUAGCCGGCCUGAGAGGGUGUACGGCCACAUUGGGACUGAGAUACGGCCCAGACUCCUACGGGAGGCAGCAGUGGGGAAUAUUGCACAAUGGGCGCAAGCCUGAUGCAGCGACGCCGCGUGGGGGAUGAAGGCCUUCGGGCUGUAAACUCCUUUCGCUAGGGACGAAGCUUUUUGUGACGGUACCUAGAUAAGAAGCACCGGCUAACUACGUG